rnacentral:rRNA from 1 species
GAUGAACGCUGGCGGCGUGCCUAAUACAUGCAAGUCGAGCGAACGGACGAGAAGCUUGCUUCUCUGAUGUUAGCGGCGGACGGGGGAGUAAAACGUGGAUAACCUACCUAUAAGACUGGGAUAACUUCGGGAAACCGGAGCUAAUACCGGAUGAUAUUUUGAACCGCAUGGUUCAAAAGUGAAAGACGGUCUUGCUGUCACUUAUAGAUGGAUCCGCGCUGCAUUAGCUAGUUGGUAAGGUAACGGCUUACCAAGGCAACGAUGCAUAGCCGACCUGAGAGGGUGAUCGGCCACACUGGAACUGAGACACGGUCCAGACUCCUACGGGAGGCAGCAGUAGGGAACCUUCCGCAAUGGGCGAAAGCCUGACGGAGCAACGCCGCGUGAGUGAUGAAGGUCUUCGGAUCGUAAAACUCUGUUAUUAGGGAAGAACAUAUGUGUAAGUAACUGUGCACAUCUUGACGGUACCUAAUCAGAAAGCCACGGCUAACUACGUG